CCUACGGGUGACAGCAGUGAGGAAUAUUGGUCAAUGGACGAGAGCCUGAACCAGCCAAGUAGCGUGAAGGAUGAAGGCCCUAUGGGUUGUAAACUUCUUUUAUAUGGGAAUAAAGUGCGGCACGUGUUCCUUUUUGUAUGUACCAUAUGAAUAAGCAUCGGCUAACUCCGUGCCAGCAGCCGCGGUAAUACGGAGGAUGCGAGCGUUAUCCGGAUUUAUUGGGUUUAAAGGGUGCGUAGGUGGUUGAUUAAGUCAGCUGUGAAAGUUUGUGGCUCAACCAUAAAAUUGCCGUUGAAACUGGUUGACUUGAGUACAUUUGAGGUAGGCGGAAUGCGUGGUGUAGCGGUGAAAUGCAUAGAUAUCACGCAGAACUCCGAUUGCGAAGGCAGCUUACUAAACUAUAACUGACACUGAAGCACGAAAGUGUGGGGAUCAAACAGGAUUAGAUACCCUUGUAGUC
rnacentral:rRNA from 1 species